CUGCAGUCAAUUAAGCCAGCUGGGUUCCUUGCUGGUGGGUACCCAGUGUACAGUGGCUGUGGACAGCAAGCUCCUCAGUUGUGUAUGCAGUCUGUUGCUUGUGUGGGCUGCCCUAAGGGACUUUGGAGACAUUC
rnacentral:snoRNA from 1 species